GAUGAACGCUGGCGGCGUGCUUAACACAUGCAAGUCGAACGAUGAAGCCCAGCUUGCUGGGUGGAUUAGUGGCGAACGGGUGAGUAACACGUGAGUAACCUGCCCUUAACUCUGGGAUAAGCCUGGGAAACUGUGUCUAAUACCGGAUAGGAGCGUCCACCGCACGGUGGGUGUUGGAAAGAUUUGUCGGUUUUGGAUGGACUCGCGGCCUAUCAGCUUGUUGUUGAGGUAAUGGCUCACCAAGGCGACGACGGGUAGCCGGCCUGAGAGGGUGACCGGCCACACUGGGACUGAGACACGGCCCAGACUCCUACGGGAGGCAGCAGUGGGGAAUAUUGCACAAUGGGCGGAAGCCUGAUGCAGCGACGCCGCGUGAGGGAUGACGGCCUUCGGGUUGUAAACCUCUUUCAGUAGGGAAGAAGCGAAAGUGACGGUACCUGCAGAAGAAGCACCGGCUAACUACGUG
rnacentral:rRNA from 1 species